UUUAAUAUUGAUGUGACGAAAGAGGAGAACAGAGAUUUCAUCUGGUUCAUGAAGCAGUUUCUCUAUCUGGAUUGUGCUUCGGAUCCAACUAUAGCGACUACUCUGGGUGGCACAUGUCUCGAUCUAACGUUCACCCGGAACGUAAGUGUGGAAUGCAGGAGAUACUGCACGUACUUCUCCUACCACCGGCCUAUUUUGUCGAUUCUUGCGGUGUCCCGAGAACCGAUGCCAUCCCAGUGAAGUGAAUUAACGUCACUGAUCGUCGUUGGUCCGCUAGUUCAUCUGCCAAAACGUUCGAUUCCAACCAGAAUGACCAAUCAUUGACAUCAGCCGGACAGUCCGUAGCAAAAAUAGAUAAUUGAUCCUGAAAAUGAAACUUGAGUAUUUGAUUCAGCCCAACAGUGGAUUGAUGCAUCCUUUAACAUUCAUCGGGACCACGGCGUACAUCACUUCAAAAGGCUUCAAGCCAACAUAAACAAACGGCCCUUUUCAGGGCCACCAAAUAUUCAUGGAGGAAGAUGUUGUUGAGGCUGUUGUUUACCGAUCUUCUGU